rnacentral:rRNA from 1 species
GACGCUCCCAGAGGAAUCAGCCUCGGCUAACUCCGUGCCAGCAGCCGCGGUAAUACGGAGGAUGCAAGCGUUAUCCGGAAUGAUUGGGCGUAAAGCGUCCGCAGGUGGCAGUUCAAGUCUGCUGUCAAAGACCGGGGCUCAACCUCGGAAAGGCAGUGGAAACUGAACAGCUAGAGUAUGGUAGGGGCAAAGGGAAUUCCUGGUGUAGCGGUGAAAUGCGUAGAGAUCAGGAAGAACAUCGGUGGCGAAGGCGCUUUGCUGGACCAUAACUGACACUCAGGGACGAAAGCUAGGGGAGCGAAUGGGAUUAGAUACCCCAGUAGUCCUAGCCGUAAACGAUGGAUACUAGGUGUUGUCUGUAUCGACCCGGACAGUGCCGUAGCUAACGCGUUAAGUAUCCCGCCUGGGGAGUACGCACGCAAGUGUGAAACUC